rnacentral:rRNA from 1 species
GUCCACGCCGUAAACUAUCAAUACUCGUUUUCAGCGAUAUACUGUUGGAGACUAAGCGAAAGUGAUAAGUAUUGCACCUGGGGAGUACGAUCGCAAGGUUGAAACUCAAAGGAAUUGACGGGGGCCCGCACAAGCGGUGGAGCAUGUGGUUUAAUUCGAUGAUACGCGAGGAACCUUACCAGGGCUUAAAUGUAGAUGGAAUGAUGUGGAAACAUGUCAGCCUUCGGGCCGUCUACAAGGUGCUGCAUGGCUGUCGU